rnacentral:rRNA from 1 species
UGGGGAAUCUUGGACAAUGGGCGCAAGCCUGAUCCAGCCAUGCCGCGUGAGUGAUGAAGGCCCUAGGGUUGUAAAACUCUUUCGUGGGGGACGAUAAUGACGGUACCCCAAGAAGAAGCUCCGGCUAACUUCGUGCCAGCAGCCGCGGUAAUACGAAGGGGGCUAGCGUUGUUCGGAUUUACUGGGCGUAAAGCGCGUGUAGGCGGGCUGGAAAGUUGGGGGUGAAAACCCAAGGCUCAACCAUGGAAGUGCAUUCGAAACUGGCAAACUAGAAUCUCGGAGAGGGUAGUGGAAUUCCUGGUGUAGAGGUGAAAUUCGUAGAUAUCAGGAAGAACAUCAGUGGCGAAGGCGACUACCUGGACGAAGAUUGACGCUGAGGUGCGAAAGCGUGGGGAUCAAACAGGAUUAGAUACCCUAGUAGUCCCUGAGCGGGCUGGCAAGGCGCAU